UUGCCAGCCCGCUCAGGUGUGCCAGCAGCCGCGGUAAUACGUAGGGGGCAAGCGUUAUCCGGAUUCACUGGGUGUAAAGGGAGCGUAGACGGCGAGACAAGUCUGGAGUGAAAGGCCGGGGCCCAACCCCGGGACUGCUCUGGAAACUGCCUGGCUGGAGUACAGGAGAGGUAAGUGGAAUUCCUAGUGUAGCGGUGAAAUGCGUAGAUAUUAGGAGGAACACCAGUGGCGAAGGCGGCUUACUGGACUGUAACUGACGUUGAGGCUCGAAAGCGUGGGGAGCAAACAGG
rnacentral:rRNA from 1 species